GAUGAACGCUGGCGGCGUGCCUAAUACAUGCAAGUAGAACGCUGAAGGAGGAGCUUGCUCUUCUGGAUGAGUUGCGAACGGGUGAGUAACGCGUAGGUAACCUGCCUGGUAGCGGGGGAUAACUAUUGGAAACGAUAGCUAAUACCGCAUGACAACAGUUAUUGCAUGAUAACUGUUUAAAAGGGGCAACUGCUCCACUACCAGAUGGACCUGCGUUGUAUUAGCUAGUUGGUGAGGUAACGGCUCACCAAGGCGACGAUACAUAGCCGACCUGAGAGGGUGAUCGGCCACACUGGGAAUGAGGCACGGCCCAGACUCCUACGGGAGGCAGCAGUAGGGAAUCUUCGGCAAUGGAGUGAAGUCUGACCGAGCAAAGCCGCGUGAGUGAAGAAGGGUUUCGGAUCGUAAAGCUAUGUUGUAAGAGAAGAACGAGAGUGAGAGUGGAAAGUUCACACUGUGACGGUAUCUUACCAGAAAGGGACGGCUAACUACGUG
rnacentral:rRNA from 1 species